rnacentral:rRNA from 1 species
CCUACGGGAGGCAGCCGUGGGGAAUAUUGGGCAAUGGAGGAAACUCUGACCCAGCAAUGCCGCGUGAAUGAAGAAGGUAUUCGGAUUGUAAAGUUCUUUAGUCAGGGAAGAAUAAAAUGACUGUACCUGAAGAAUAAGCUCCGGCUAACUACGUGCCAGCAGCCGCUGUAAUACGUAGGGAGCAAGCGUUGUGCGGAAUGACUGGGCGUGAAGGGUGCGUAGGCGGUUAUACAAGUUAGAAGUGAAAUACCCAGGGCGUAACUCGGGUGCUGCUUCUGAAACUGUAAGACUGGAGUGCAGUAGAGGUUAGUGGAAGUCCGGGUGUAGCGGUGGAAUGCGUAGAUAUUAGGAGGAACACCAGCGGCGAAGGCGGCUAACUGGACUGCAACUGACGCUGAGGCACGAAAGUGUGGGGAGCAAACAGGAUUAGAUACCCUGGUAGUC